CCUUUGUUAUUAACUGAGUGAGAAUUAGGAGAGGAGCCUGGUCCUCUCCACACAGCCCAGCAGGUACACCGCCCAUGUGCCUGUGGAGAACAGCGGUUCCUGUAAGGCCGAAAGGUGUGGACCAAGUAGCUUGAAAUUUCUUCUGAAGAAAACACACAAGGAGGACGCGAGUGAGCUCAGUGGAGGAGGGGCGCUACCCCAGGGGACGUCUACUUCAUGGACUUGUGAAGCCCGAAUACCUGAGAUGGGAGACAGGAGACAUCAAUAUAUGUAAGAUGAACGUUGGUUCCCUCGGGGAAGGCGGGACAACUCGAUGCAGGGAGGGAGCUUCCAGGUCACAGGCUAAACAGCUUUAGGAACUGAAAAGUUCAUGAGGCUGUAAGGAAGAGUCGAGUUGCUCCAGGUGAGCCUGGGCCACAACAGCAUGCAGGACCUGGGCGCCCACGAGGGGCUCCUGGGAGGGUUCGGGAAAGGGAGCUGUGAACCCUGACUAUCUGAGAUGGUUUCAGGUGAUUUAGAAAGUUCAUUUUGCCGAGGUUGAGGACGUGCACCCGUGACAGCCUCAGGAGAUCCUGGUGACAAGUGCCCAAGGUGGUCAGGGCACAGCUUGGUUUUAGGGAGACGGGAGUCAUCAGUCAAUACAUGUCAGAAGUACCUUGCUUCCAUCCAGAAAGGUGGGGACAACUGGAAGCAGGGAGGGGGCUUCCAAGGUCACAGGUAGGUGACAGACAAAUGUUGCGUUGUUUUGAGUUUCUGGUUAGCCUCUCCAAAGGAGGUGAUUGGAUGUGCACCUAUCUUAGUGUGGAGAUAGGUGAUUUGGAAUAGAAUGGGAGGCAGGUUUGCCCUGAGCAGUUCCCAGCUUGGCUUUUCCCUUUAGCUUAGUAAUUUUAGGGCCCCAAGAUUUUCUUUUCACAGAGCCUAUGACUAGAUUUGCAUUUUUAGAUCCUCCGAGGAGGCUGCUACACACAUGCAGAAGUCAUGCUGGUGGCCUGGACUCCGAAGGGAGAGAAGUGGAUUUGAGAGACAUUUAGGAGGUAGGAUUGCCAGGGCCUUGGUGAUAGCUUGGAUAUGGAGGGUGGAGCAGGAGGGGUGUCAAGCAGAUAUUGCUCUUAGAUUACCACCUGGGAUAUUAGGGAGAGUGAGUGGGCUGUUUUUUCUUUGUUAGGCAGAACUUGGUUUUGUGGUGCAGUAGGGUGCCUCAAACCAAAAGCCUGACUUCCUCAUACAGGCCAGACCCCACGUGGCUGUUCCUGUGACUGCCAGGCCAUUCUGAGGCUGAGAGAGAUGGUUUUGUCUGGCCUCUGCCCUGCACGUGUUUGCGAAUGACUUCUCUGUGUUGGCAGAUUUGGGGGUCCACCAGAUAGGAUCCUGUGAAGACACCUCAAAGGUCUUUAGUCCAAUUUUUAAAACAUCUUUUUGUUCAUAUCAUUUCCACAAUCAAAGAUGAAUAAAAUAUACAGAGGUUUAUUUAGUGAAUAAGGUUGAUGGUGCACCUGUGCUAGGCAGUGUUUUAGGUCGUUGAGACACCAAGGAGUUGAAACAAUCCUUUACCUUGGAGUUUUGUGUCUGUAAGUCCUGCUGUUGAGAGCUGUGUGUGUUAAAAUGUCUGAUUUGGGCAGGUGAGAUCUGGGCCGUCUGUAAGGUUAGGUGAGAGGAGGUUGGUGUCCAGCAAGUAUCCAGUGCCCCAUCAACAUCCCAGUUCUUGUCCGCAAGUCUUCCAGUUCUAGGACUGAUGCAGAGGCCCUCAGAGCGACUUCAGAGGAGUAGUGUGCUCUGUGGCUGUCUGUUUUGGAGUGUAAAUUGUAAAUCCUCUGCAAACAAGAAGUUGGAAACAAGUAGCAUUUCAGCUUGAGUUUCUUGUAAAUGGCUUGCAGUCGUAUGAACCAGAGCAUGUAUACCACAGGGCAACACAAGGGUCCCUCUAUCACCAUUUCUCCCAGUGGCCUAGGUGGGGAUUUAAACAGAAUAAUGUGUGCAGCCUCAUUGUGUGAAAGUCCAGUACUUUGUGCUUGGAGUGUCAUCAGGGAAGGGCCCCUGACUUUGAAGCCUGCUGCAUCUCGCUCUGUGAUAGGAGGCAUAACGUGGCCUUGGUCUUACGAAGACCUUGGGUGCCACAGCUCACUUCAGCCCUGAUCAGCCUGAUGCAGGCGCUGGGCCCUGGUUCUGGAGGUGAGAAUAUACCUUGAGCUUCCACUGCAUGGCUGCACUGUGAGCAUUCAGGUGCUUAUUUGGGGACUGAUACGGAGUCCUGUGACAGAUGCAGUGGUGCACACCUGGGAACCAAGGGUCCCUGCUUCUACUGGAGAAUCUGGACAGAUGUAAAAGGUAAGAAAGGCUGGGGGUAGGGGUUAGGGUGAAGG